AGGGGUUGCCUGCUGCCUGCAGUAAGUCCUGGCUGAGGGAGAAGAAAGAGGCUGGAGGCCCUAGCAAUCUCAGGAGGAGAAGCAGGAGCCCACACAGGGAUAUCCUUUUGACUAUGGCGUUCCUGACAGCACAUGGUGGCACGGCCUGGCCCUAUCAGCUGCUGCAAACUAACAGCUCAGCCGCCGCUAAGGAAUACUGGCUGUUUCCAUACCUCUGCACAGGAAGAAAGGUCCUGAAUGCAGUGUACCGAGGUUUGAUCAAACAAGUGACGACUGGAUUAGGAGCAGAUUUACAAGGAAGUUUUCAGCCUUACAGUGAAGUGGCAUGGAGGACAGUAAGAGUAUGUCCAGUAGAUCUGUGUCAGUUCAGGAUCCAGUUCCUUUGUCUCUCAGAUACGUGGUCAAGAAAUAUGGCAUAGGAAACUUGCUGUACAGCAUUUGGCAUCUUAGCAAGGAAGGUAGCUUUUAACAAGCUUCACACCUUCCAGUGACACCCCAGAGGCUGGAGAAGUGUUUGGUUUAAUUUAGACAGCGUUGUCUGUAAUUUCCUAAGCACUGCAUGGGGUUUCAUUGCCUUUAAAUGUAUUCCUUCUGACUUCAGAGUGCUUCUUGAGCUUGAAAAGGGGUCCUAGAGUGAAAAUUUUAUGGCCUCCUUUCUAUAUUGCUCAGGCAGUCCUCACUGAGGCAAACUCUGAAAUUUUAGUCUGUUUAUACCAUCUGGCACUUUUGUUUGUCCUGAACCUUCCAUUAGAAAACCUUAGCUCCUAAACAUAAUGCUUUGACCAUAUUAAAAGACUAGUAUUUUGACUAGAUUGCUUAUGCCAGCGGCCCUUAUGGAGCAGCAUUAGAGGAUAUGAUAGAGAAUGAUCAUCUUUCUAUGCAAUCUUUCCAGCAUUGUUUAAUGAAGCC